rnacentral:lncRNA from 1 species
AAAAUUUGAGAAUAUGUAUCGUAACAUCAAUUUCAAGAAUGAUUCAAAAACACAUAACACUUGAAUAGAAAAAAAAUUAUCUUUUAUUGAUUAAAUUAAUAGUUUAAGUAUAAAUUUAUGUCAUAGAAUAAAAAUAUGUCAGCCAACAAUGGGCUUCUAGGAUAUACAUCUAACAAUCUCAUACUUAGACUAAAGCUAAUUGGCCAUUAAUCUAAGCCCC